rnacentral:rRNA from 1 species
AGCCAGACUCCUACGGGAGGCAGCAGUGGGGAAUAUUGCACAAUGGGGGAAACCCUGAUGCAGCAACGCCGCGUGAGUGAAGAAGUCAUUCGUGAUGUAAAGCUCUAUCAGCAGGGAAGAAAAUGACGGUACCUGACUAAGAAGCCCCGGCUAACUACGUGCCAGCAGCCGCGGUAAUACGUAGGGGGCAAGCGUUAUCCGGAUUUACUGGGUGUAAAGGGAGCGUAGACGGCGGGGCAAGUCUGGAGUGAAAGCCCGGGGCCCAACCCCGGGACUGCUUUGGAAACUGCCAUGCUGGAGUGCAGGAGAGGUAAGUGGAAUUCCUAGUGUAGCGGUGAAAUGCGUAGAUAUUAGGAGGAACACCAGUGGCGAAGGCGGCUUACUGGACUGUAACUGACGUUGAGGCUCGAAAGCGUGGGGAGCAAACAGGAUUAGAUACCCUGGUA